rnacentral:rRNA from 1 species
AUUGAACGCUGGCGGCAGGCCUAACACAUGCAAGUCGGACGAGUGGCGAACGGGUGAGUAAUAUAUUGGAACGUACCCAGUAGUGGGGGAUAACCAAUGGAAAGAUUGGCUAAUACCGCAUACUAUUCGAGCGGCCAAUAUCUGAUUAGCUAGUUGGUGGGGUAACGGCCCACCAAGGCGACGAUCAGUAGCGGGUCUGAGAGGAUGAUCAGCCACACUGGGACUGAGACACGGCCCAGACUCCUACGGGAGGCAGCAGUGGGGAAUUUUGGACAAUGGGCGCAAGCCUGAUCCAGCCAUGCCGCGUGUGUGAAGAAGGCCUUCGGGUUGUAAAGGACUUUUGUUAGGGAAGCGGUACCUAAAGAAUAAGCACCGGCUAACUACGUGCCAGCAGCCGCGGUAAUUC